rnacentral:rRNA from 1 species
GAUGAACGCUAGCUACAGGCUUAACACAUGCAAGUCGAGGGGCAGCACUGGGAUUGCUUGCAAUCCCUGGUGGCGACCGGCGAAUGGGUGAGUAACACGUAUGCGACCUGCCCCGGACAGGGGGAUAAACCCGGGAAACUGGGUCUAAUACCCCAUAUGCCCUGAGGACGCAUGUCCUUAGGGUGAAAGAUCCGUCGGUCCGGGAUGGGCAUGCGGCGCAUUAGCUUGUUGGCGGGGUAACGGCCCACCAAGGCGACGAUGCGUAGGGGUUCUGAGAGGAAGGUCCCCCACACUGGUACUGAGACACGGACCAGACUCC